rnacentral:tRNA from 1 species
GUGGUGAUAGUUUAAUGGCAGAAUGCCCGGAAAAAUAUCCUUUAUUCGCAAUUUAGCCCUAACGGGACGAAGAAUUGAAGGUUAUCGUCCAGCCGGGAGAUGGUGGGUUCGAGUUCCACCUCACCACGCCA